rnacentral:lncRNA from 1 species
CUCUCUGACUUUUUCCUUGUGUUCCGCUGAGAGUCGACUCUUGCUUUCUUUGGAGUCGACUCGCGUUCCACUGGAGUCGACUCGAAUCUCAGACCCGAAAACUGCUCUCUGACUUUUCUGCCUGUGACUCCUAGGAGUCGACUCAUACUUCCCCGGAGUCGACUCGGUAAACAUUGGAGUCGACUCGAAUUCCUCAGGAGUCGACUCGAAGACUAUUCUUUUGAAUUUUUUUUCUUUGAUUUUACUCCUCCAAUUUGAAUCCUCUGAACUUUAAGCUUGGGCCAAUAAAUUGUAGCUUUCUUCCAACUUGAGAGCUUUGGAGGCCUUCUUGUGUUCUCCCAACUUGCUAUGUUCCUUGCAAAAUAAAUAUCUUUCUCCUUGCAACAUAA